rnacentral:rRNA from 1 species
GAUGAACGCUGGCGGCGUGCCUAAUACAUGCAAGUCGAGCGAACGGACGAGAAGCUUGCUUCUCUGAUGUUAGCGGCGGACGGGUGAGUAACACGUGGAUAACCUACCUAUAAGACUGGGAUAACUUCGGGAAACCGGAGCUAAUACCGGAUAAUAUAUUGAACCGCAUGGUUCAAAAGUGAAAGACGGUUUUGCUGUCACUUAUAGAUGGAUCCGCGCUGCAUUAGCUAGUUGGUAAGGUAACGGCUUACCAAGGCAACGAUGCAUAGCCGACCUGAGAGGGUGAUCGGCCACACUGGAACUGAGACACGGUCCAGACUCCUACGGGAGGCAGCAGUAGGGAAUCUUCCGCAAUGGGCGAAAGCCUGACGGAGCAACGCCGCGUGAGUGAUGAAGGUCUUCGGAUCGUAAAACUCUGUUAUUAGGGAAGAACAUAUGUGUAAGUAACUGUGCACGUCUUGACGGUACCUAAUCAGAAAGCCACGGCUAACUACGUG